rnacentral:rRNA from 13 species
GAGAGCGAGAUCCCAUGAAAACGACCUGGCCGUGGCCCCGGGUAUUGUAAGGACUAGAGUAGCCAGGGCUGCUACGAUUUCCUGAGAUUCACCCCGCG